rnacentral:rRNA from 1 species
CAGGCCUAACACAUGCAAGUCGAACGGUGCCUUCGGGUCCAGUGGCAAACGGGUGCGUAACGCGUAAGCAACCUGCCUCAAACUGGGGGAUAGCCCGGCGAAAGCUGGGGUAAACCCGCACGGUCCCAGCGGCUCACCUGGGCUGGUGGGUAAACAUUGAUGGGUUGGAGAGGGGCUUGCGUCUGAUUAGCUAGUUGGCGGGGUAAGGGCCCACCAAGGCGAUGAUCAGUAGGGGUUCUGAGAGGAUUGGCCCCCACAUGGGUACUGAGAUACGGACCCAACUCCUACGGGAGGCAGCAGUAGGGAAUAUUGGGCAAUGGGCGCAAGCCUGACCCAGCCAUGCCGCGUGGAGGAUGACGGCGCUCAGCGUUGUAAACUCCUUUUAUCAGGGAAGAACAGUAUGCCUGCGGGCGUAUGUGACGGUACCUGAGGAAUCAGCACCGGCUAACUCCGUGCCAGCAGCCGCGGUAAU